rnacentral:rRNA from 1 species
AUUGAACGCUGGCGGCAGGCCUAACACAUGCAAGUCGAACGGUAACAGGAAGAAGCUUGCUUCUUUGCUGACGAGUGGCGGACGGGUGAGUAAUGUCUGGGAAACUGCCUGAUGGAGGGGGAUGACUACUGGAAACGGUAGCUAAUACCGCAUAACGUCGCAAGACCAAAGAGGGGGACCUUCGGGCCUCUUGCCAUCGGAUGUGCCCAGAUGGGAUUAGCUAGUAGGUGGGGUAACGGCUCACCUAGGCGACGAUCCCUAGCUGGUCUGAGAGGAUGACCAGCCACACUGGAACUGAGACACGGUCCAGACUCCUACGGGAGGCAGCAGUGGGGAAUAUUGCACAAUGGGCGCAAGCCUGAUGCAGUCAUGCCGCGUGUAUGAAGAAGGCCUUCGGGUUGUAAAGUACUUUCAGCGGGGAGGAAGGGAGUAAAGUUAAUACCUUUGCUCAUUGACGUUACCCGCAGAAGAAGCACCGGCUAACUCCGUG